CCUACGGGUGGCAGCAGUGAGGAAUAUUGGUCAAUGGACGAGAGUCUGAACCAGCCAAGUAGCGUGAAGGAUGACUGCCCUAUGGGUUGUAAACUUCUUUUAUAUGGGAAUAAAAUGUUCCACGUGUGGGAUUUUGUAUGUACCAUAUGAAUAAGGAUCGGCUAACUCCGUGCCAGCAGCCGCGGUAAUACGGAGGAUCCGAGCGUUAUCCGGAUUUAUUGGGGUUAAAGGGAGCGUAGGUGGAUUGUUAAGUCAGUUGUGAAAGUUUGCGGCUCAACCGUAAAAUUGCAGUUGAAACUGGCAGUCUGGAGUACAGUAGAGGUAGGCGGAAUUCGUGGUGUAGCGGUGAAAUGCUUAGAUAUCACGAAGAACUCCGAUUGCGAAGGCAGCUCACUGGACUGCAACUGACACUGAGGCUCGAAAGUGUGGGUAUCAAACAGGAUUAGAUACCCCUGUAGUC
rnacentral:rRNA from 1 species